rnacentral:rRNA from 1 species
CAAAGACAGCGAGGAGGUUGGCUCAGAAGCAGCCAUCCUUUAAAAAGUGCGUAACAGCUUACUCGUCAAGGCCGUCUGCGCCGUAAAUGGACGGGGCUAAGUCAGCUACCGAUACCGUAGACACCGAAAGGUUGUGAUAGGCAGGCGUUCUGUAAGGGCAGAAGUGCAGCUUCAAGGCUGUAUGGACCUUGCAGAAUUGAAAAUCCUGGCGGUAGUAGGAUCAUAGUACAGUGAGAAUCUGUACCACCGAAAGGGCAAGGGUUCCUUGACAAUGCAGUUCAGUCAAGGGUUAGUCGAUCCUAACUCCAUUCCUAAUGGUUUUGGGGGAAAGGGAAAACGGUUAAUAUUCCGUUGCUGUUGGAGAAUCCCGCAAGGGAAAUCCUUACUGCGACGCUUCUGGCUAGGCUGACACAUCGAGCCGGUGUGUUAACCAGAGCAGCCUUGCGGAGUCUCGUAAUGAGGAGAAGCAGGGCAACUCGGGAUUUGCAUGCCGUAAGGCAUGUUCAGUUGAGGCCCGGAGUCCAUGAAAAACCAGUAAGGAAGUUUCUUCAGCAAUCGUACCAAGAACCAACACAGGUGCCCCUGGGUUAGAAGCCCAAGGUGUGAAGGCAUAAUCCGGUUGAGGGAACUCGGCAAGAUAGCCCCGUGUCUUCGGAAUAAGGGGUCCCUGCAUUUGUACCGCAAGGUGCAAGCGCAGGGCGCAGUGACAAGGAGGGCCCGACUGUUUAACAAAAACUUAACUGACUGCAACGCCGCAAGGCUUAGUAUAGUCGGUGAUGUCUGCCCAGUACAGGUACUUCAAACCCCAUUACAAUGGGGCUAAGAGCCUGCAAACGGCGGGAGUAACUAUAACUCUCUUAAGGUAAACAAUCGCAUUGCCUUAGUAAAAUCUGGCUAUAUGCUGGAAAAUCCGAGUAUCUUUUGCUACUGCAGCUACAGCGGUGAACAAAAUCGCAGUUGUUGCAGUGAAAAUGCAAAAGUGCGGACAAUCAGCAGGAAACCACAAGUUACAAUUGUGGGAUCCUCAGAGACUACACGCCCGAACAACAACUUGGCCGUCGUUUUUGGUCAAGCUUUUGCUCAUCAACAGAUGAGUAAAAGGUUGUAAGAUAUAGUCCGACCCCAGCAGCGAUGUUGGGAGGCUACAAGUCGGCAGGUGCCGACUGUGCAAUCGAGACAUUCUCGAUUUGCAGCAGAAAUGCUAGCCCGCUUUCGUAAGAAAGUCGUAACAUAUGUGAGCGAAAUACCUUGUCGUUUGAAUGACGACGCGCAUGAGUGACAUAACGAGGUCCUCACUGUCCCCAACCGGAAGCCUCUGAACACUCUCUCCUGGUGCAAAGGCCAGGGACCUCCAGUGGGAAGUGAAGACCCCGUGAAACUUUACUGUAGCUUGAUGCUGCGGUGCGGGCUUUGCUGUGUAGCGUAGGUGGGAACUAAGCGGCGCAAGCUGUAAGGUGACGAUGAAACACCACUCUGCGAAGCCUGCAUUGCUUACCCAGAAAUGGGGACAACAUCUGGCGGACAGUUUGGCUGGGGUGGCACGCUUCUGAAAAAGUAUCAGAAGCGCCCUAAGGUUGGCUCAGGCGGGUCAGAAAUCCGCCGCGGAGUGCAAGAGCAUAAGCCAGCCUGACUGGAUUCCUGACAAGAAAGAAUCCAGAGACGAAAGUCGGGUCUAGCGAACCUCUGUGCCCCAUUAGUCGGGGCCAGGGAUGACCGAAAAGUUACUCCGGGGAUAACAGGGUCGUCUCGCCCGAGAGUUCACAUCGACGGCGAGGCUUGCUACAUCGACGUCGGCUCUACCUAUCCUGGCUGUGCAGAAGCAGCCAAGGGUGCGGGUGUUCACCGAUUAAAAGGUAUCGCGAGCUGGGUUCACAACGUUGUGAGACAGUUGGUAUAAUAUCUACUGGAGGUGUUGGAUGUCUGAAUGGAAGGAAGCUUUAGUACGAGAGGAACAAACUUCCGUGGCCUCUGGUUUACCGGUUAUCUUGCAAGGUAGGCCGGGCAGCUACGCCAUUUGGGAUAAGUGCUGAAAGCAUCUAAGCACGAAACCCUCCGUGAAAAUAGACAUCUGUGGAGCUCCCAUAAAACAUGGGUUUGAUAGAGCAGGGGUGUAAGCACAAAGCCCUCGGGCGAUGUGCUCAGCCCGCUGCCACUAACCGCUCCAUCUCUUUCAA